GAUGAACGCUAGCGGCAGGCUUAACACAUGCAAGUCGAGGGGCAGCGCGGGAUAGCAAUAUCCUGGCGGCGACCGGCGGAAGGGUGCGUAACGCGUGAGCGACAUGCUCGUUGCCCGGGGACAACCGGUGGAAACGCCGACUAAUCCCCGAUGGGAUACGAUGCUUCAUGGCAUUGUAUUGAAAGUUACGGCGGCGACGGAUUGGCUCGCGUCCGAUUAGCUGGUUGGCGGGGUGACGGCCCACCAAGGCUGCGAUCGGUAGGGGUUCUGAGAGGAAGGCCCCCCACAAUGGGACUGAGACACGGCCCAUACUCCUACGGGAGGCAGCAGUGAGGAAUAUUGGUCAAUGGGCGGAAGCCUGAACCAGCCAUGCCGCGUGCGGGAAGGAGGCCCUAUGGGCUGUGAACCGCUUUUGCCUGGGGGCAAUAAGAGCGUCGCGCACGUCCGAUGAGAGUACCAGGCGAAUAAGCAUCGGCUAACUCCGUG
rnacentral:rRNA from 1 species